GGAGAGCUGAGAAGGGGAGGAGAAAGUAAGGACUACCUGAAAUUAGAGAAGUCAAUGUUCAUACUGCUGUGGUGCAAACUGCCCAAGCGAAAUAUGAGGUGCUGCUCCUCUAAUUUACAGUGGUCCUCAGUCUGGCCAUGGAGGAGGCCGAGGACAGGAAGGUCGGAUUCGGAAUGGGAGGGAUAGUUGAAGUGCUGAGCCACCGGGAGAUCAGUGUGAAAAAAAACCCUCUGGUUACAGACAGGAGAAAGCAGUCCAAUUCAAGCACUGCCCCAAGAUCCUGACCAGUGUUCCCGGUAGGCUGACAUAAUCUGUGUGGUAUGCUGAGGACAUGGAAAAGCUUCCAGACGUCGCUGAAAGUUCGUUCUUUCAGGCUCUGAGACAGACUGGAGAUUUCUCAAACUACUUCAAACCCUUAUCUAACUUUUAUACGCCUUCAGCAUAGCCAAAUACCAAUAGGAUUACUUAGAUAAUCAGACACCUAAAUGAAAGAAAUAGUAUUUUGUUUUGACUGUUUAAUGUAAAAAGGGCAGCACGGUGGCGCAGCGGUCGAUUUGCUGCUUCACCGCGCCAGAGACCCGGGUUUUGUCCUGACUACGGGUGCUGUCUGUAUGGAGUUAGUACCUUCUCCCUGUGACUGUCUCAUCCUUUUCUUCUACUUUUUUUCUAGUAUGCAUUAAAUGUAUGUUUUAGUGCGCUUUAGCUGUUUUAUAUGGGGGGGAGGGAGAGAAUUUGUUUAAAUCUCUUACGUCGACGGAGAAGCGAUUUUGUUCCAGAUCGUAUCUCCGUCCACACUGCGGCCUAACAUCGAAGAGCCGGCAGCCUCUUGCUGGGGAUCGACUUUGGGAGCUUCAACCACGAGAGCCUACGGACUCUCACAUCGUGGAACUCGUGGUCCCUUGGUUAGGGACCGACUUCGGGAGCUCCAAGCCACAGGAGCUUCGACCGCCCCGAUCGCAGGAACUUCGACCGCCCCCACGCGGAAGCUUCGAUCACCGAUCGCAAGAGCUGCGACCGCCCCGACUGCAGAUGGCUCGACUGCCCCGACCGCGGGAGAAUAAAGAGGAAAGAAAAUUAGACUUUAUUGCCUUCCAUCACAGUGAGAAACGUGGGGAAUCAACUCUGGUGGAUGUUUAUGUUAACUUUUAUAUAGUUGUGAGUCUUGUUGCUUAUUUUAGUAUGACUGUAUGGUAAAUCGAGUUUCACUUUACCUUAAUUGGUACACGUGACAAUAAAAUACUCUUUGAACCCUUUGA